ACGAACGCUGGCGGCGUGCUUAACACAUGCCCGUCGAACGGUGAAGCGCCUUCCUUUUUGGUGGGUGUGGAUGAGUGGCGAACGGGUGAGUAACACGUGAGUAACCUGCCCCCUUCUUCUGGAUAACCGCAUGAAAGUGUGGCUAAUACGGGAUAUUCUGGGUCUGUCGCAUGAUGGGUCUGGGAAAGAUAUUGUUUCGGUGGGGGAUGGGCUCGCGGCCUAUCAGCUUGUUGGUGGGGUGAUGGCCUACCAAGGCGGUGACGGGUAGCCGGCCUGAGAGGGUGGACGGUCACACUGGGACUGAGACACGGCCCAGACUCCUACGGGAGGCAGCAGUGGGGAAUAUUGCACAAUGGGCGCAAGCCUGAUGCAGCGACGCCGCGUGAGGGAUGGAGGCCUUCGGGUUGUGAACCUCUUUCGCCAGUGAAGCAGGCCUGCCUCGUUUGUGGGUGGGUUGACGGUAGCUGGAUAAGAAGCGCCGGCUAACUACGUG
rnacentral:rRNA from 1 species